rnacentral:rRNA from 1 species
GAGGGAUAACUCAUCGCGAGCGCGCUAUAGUGUAGCAGCACAAAGCUCAAAUUUAAAAUCUGGCAGUCUCUGAUUGUCCGAGUUGUAAUUUAGAGAAGUGUUACCCGUGUUGGACCGUGUACAAGUCUCCUGGAAUGGAGCGUCAUAGAGGGUGAGAAUCCCGUCUUUGAUACGGAUCCCAAUACAUUGUGGUACACUCUCGAAGAGUCGAGUUGUUUGGGAAUGCAGCUCUAAAUGGGUGGUAAAUUCCAUCUAAAGCUAAAUAUUGGGGAGAGACCGAUAGCGAACAAGUACCGUGAGGGAAAGAUGAAAAGAACUUUGGAAAGAGAGUUAAACAGUACGUGAAAUUGCUGAAAGGGAAACGCUUGAAGUCAGUCGCGUUGGUCGGGGAUCAGCCUUCCUUAUGGUUGGUGCAUUUCCUGAUCAACGGGUCAACAUCAGUUUUGAUCAAUGGAUAAAAGUUUGAGGGAUGUGGCAUCUUCGGGUGUGUUAUAACCUCUUGCUAUAUACAUUGAUUGGGACAUGAGGAACUACAGCAUC